rnacentral:lncRNA from 1 species
GAAUAUUUAAAUUUGCCGACUGAAAUUCUUUCGGAUAAACGACGCUCUACUGUAUUUAUUUAUUUAGAGUUUCUAAUAGAAGUAUUCUUAUUUUUGUAGGCAAGACAGAUACUGGAACGGGAAUUUAACGGUUUACUUCUCAAAGGUACAGACAGGAGGCCCGACGAGGCCGGCAAGCAUUCUACGCACACCGCUUCGACCCACCACAGCGUCCAAGGCGACAGACUGGUCUGAAGAACGGGCGGAGGAAGAGCGCAGCCACCCAUCCCCGGAGCGGAGCGGAUCGGAGUCGAGCAGUUCCUUAGAAUCAAAAACGAUAAAAAAAACGAGUAAUAACAAAAAAAUAGAUAACCGAAUUGGCUGCCGUCUGCGACGAGAAGGGAGGUGCGGAGGAGGGAGAGAGAGAGAGAGAGAGAGAGAGAGAGCGUCGCCCGUCUGCCCCUUCCGGAAAUUCCGCGUCGCUCUCCUUCCGGUUCCGCCCGGCCGGAGGUCGAAGGUCGUUUCCGGCGGCGGGCGGAAGUCGGAGCGGUACCCUCCGGCGCGCCGCGUCGACGCCGCCGCUGCGCGCCGCCCCGUGUACAUAUUGUAACCAAAAAAAAGAAAACGAUAACAAUACAAUUUAAUUUACCGGAAACGACCGGAAAAACCGUACGGGAAGAAUUUUCCUCUUUUCUUUUUAAACUUUUUUCUUUCAAGAGACGAGUUUUUGAUGUUCGGUCGCCGAUUCAAGCGCUAAAAAAACUCGGAUGGCAGUUCUAUUUAAAAAAAACAAGUUAGAUUUUAUAAUCGUGCCCGUCUGUUUGUCGUCCGUUCUGCGUGCAUCUAUUGUAAAUUUUUUUUAAUGUAAGAUCCUUUCGGACGUCGGCACCUAUUCCCCUGCCCUCUUUUUGUUUCUAGUGUAAUUUACCCAUUGCCAAGGCACGAGAAAUCGAGUCAUUAAUCGAUACUAGUCGCUUCCGUGUCGAUGUGUGUCGUGAACGUUGUAUCGUCGUUAAUUCAUUAAUUUUCUGUGUACCACCCUUUAUUAUUUUUUUUUGUUUUGUUCUUUUGAUUUAGUUCUCUGCGUACUCCUUUGAGUUGUGUACAGAUUUCUAGGCAGCUCCUUAAUAUAUAUAUAUAUAUAUACAUAUUAUUAUUAUUAAAAUCAUCUUUGCAUAUUUUUAUUUUUUUAGAGUUUUUUGGACAUCCGGGGUUAUUAUUGUUUAGUUUAUUUAUUCAUUUACACGGAUCGAGCGCCGGCGACGACGACGCGUUGGGUUCGAGUGACCGAAAAACGAGGGACGAAAUUUACGUUGGAGCGCCUCUAGCGGCGCCAUUUUUUGAUAAUCAAAAAGAAAAAACGAAACUAUCCCUUACGUCACUUUCUAAGUAUACGAAGAACAAAGCCGUUAGUACGAAUGAGUUUUAUACGCAUUUAUUAUAUACUCGUAGAGUUUUGUAUUUAUUACGAAAAGAGAAAAAAAACGUUUUUACCACUUUCGAGUAAAAAAACAAAGGAAAAAAAACACUUGGUACAAUAACAAUGUCGUGGUUUAUGGUUCGGCAUGCAAAUUUUGUCUACGAGAAACUUCUUUGUCCCGUUUCUAGAUUUCUAUCGGAGGAACGAAGCGAAACGCGCACGUUACGAAUGGAAGAUGGACGCGUUUCCGUUCCCGCUUGCGUCACUUCCGGCCCGCGCCCGACGUCGUCUGUCCGCCUCCUCCUCUCUCCGGUGGCCACACUCGGUUUCGAGGUUAGCGUUUACGUAAGUUUCGCGGGCUUCUAACUCCGUGUUUCCCCCCGUCGUGUUUCCAUUGUACAGUAUUAUCGAAGGUUCGAACCCCCUUCGUUCCCGUAACUACAGUUACAGAAAAUUCGGGUAAAAUCGUCUCGCAGGUAACGAGAUCUUCAUCCGGAUCUUCGUGUGUUUAUUCGGACGUAUUCGUAGAACCAGUCAAAUUACUCGUCUAUGUCACGUGGAUAUUCGGAGUCUAUUUCUUUUCCUAUUGUUUUUUUUAAAAAAAAAAGGAAAUCCGUUACACCGUUUCGGCAGUUUACUUCCAUUAUGUGAACGGAAGAAUUGUUUAUAGCAGUUGUUCUCGUCACUUUGUAACAUUUUUUUAUGCACAAUUUAACCGAGAGAUGACGACGACGUUGAGAAGAAAACAGAAAUUUUGUCGCUGCAAAACUUUGUAGAUGAAAAAUUGUUUUUGUUUAGCCCUUUUAUGCAACUAAACUAUGUACUGUUGUUAAUAUUGUACCGAUACAUCCGCAUUUUAUAUAUAAAAAAAAAAUGAAAAAUUCACACGACCGGGCCUGGUGAGCGCGCGUGUGAACGUGCGCGCGCGAGUAGGUGCGAAAACAAAACAAAAAAAAAGACCGGGACGAGGAAGGAAGCAAUAAUGGAAACGGGUCGAACCUCUUCUCGACCAGAGCUUAGAUAACCGCAGCCGGGCCUUUGUUCUCGGCCGACGUCGGGCUGUAGUAUAUAAAAAAGCACGUGACCGGGCGGCACCCGAGUCGUAUUGUGUGACGUGGGCGAUCUUCCGACUCUCCGACGUCGGUGGAUCGAUCGGUUUCUUUGUUUUUUUUUUCUCCCGUUUGUUUUUAAUGCGCGGGUGGCGCCACCCCCGGUCGAUAAGCAUAUCAGGUUUCCGGAGCCGCGUCGGCCACCCGGGUCGAAUUCGAUGACGUGUUACUUGGAGUCGAGAAUAUAAAAAAAAAGGAUUUAUUAUGUUCCAUCGUCUCUGUACAGAUAGCCUCGCUAUUGCCAUUGGUGUUAUUAUGGCAGUGUACGAUAGAAACAAUGAAUAAUUGCCUCUUGGACUGUG